AAAAAGGUUCUUUUGGUCAAGAGAGCAGUGCAAAGAGAGCCAGAGACUGAAACCUGCAGCACUUGACCAAAAGCACAAACUCUGAAAAAAGAGCUCCGAAGGGUGGGUCUCAGUUUAUCUCCUAAGCAUCCUUACAUAAAAUGAGGAUGUAACUUAAAAGGAUGCUGGGAAUGUAGCUCAGGUGUUGCAAAUUUUCCAUCUGCACAGAACCCAUACUUAACAUUGAUUCUAAGACAGAAGGUAAGAGCUUUUAAAAGACCUAAGUUCAAAUUUUGUCUCACACUUCUCAGAUUUGCAAUUCCAGGCAAGUCACUAAGCAUCUCUCUGCCUUGACCAAGGGAUAUCAGAAAGGAUCCUUUACCUAGAAAUACCUCCUGUAACCAUCUAGUACAAUGCCUGAGAUCACACCGUAAAAACUUAUUUCUUUCAUGCUAAGAUCUUGUCCCUUUUUGAAAUGCAAAAAUUCAGAAAAGGAACCUAGAGCUUUAAAACCCAAAGUCGACCAUGUUUCCUAUUUUUUUGCACAACAGUUAGAUAGCAGAAUUAAACUAUGAGUCAGUAUCUUCCCAUUUCUGGGCCUCAGUUCCCCCAUCUGCCAAAUAUCACUGAAUGAUCUCAAAAAUCUCUCCCAGCUGUGAUGUUGUACGUUCUACUUGAAGGUUUUUCCUAAUUAUAUGUCCUAUGGUUUAAUGUUCCUCCAAGCUUUGAUGUUCUAUGUUCUCAUAUUUCCUCCACAGCCCCCAUUGUAUGACUUGCUAAAAGUCACCCAAUGGGUCAGUGGCAGGCUAGAAUCCAGAUCACUUGACUCCCAGGCCAGCGUGUUCUCAGAGGGGAGUGAGAGUGUCUCCUCAUUCUCCCAAACAUGGUUUUCCAUCUAUGUGUUGGGUCCUGACUCCUGAGGUCAGGGGUUACCCUGACUGUAUCUGUCUUACAAUUCCUUGGUUUUCCCUUGAAGAACAGGUGAAGCAUUUUAACAAGAGCACCAGAAUCUGUUGCAUUACCAGGAGGUCCCAGAGUGACUCCAGAAAGGGAAAAGAGAGUGAAGAGCUUAUUCCAGAGAGACCAGGUUUAGCUCUAUUCACAGAGUCACCUAACUGCUCCAUUAAUCCAUCUGGUGGCCCAGCAUUGUAGUUAUUUCCUAGGAAGAAAGGAAAGAAGAUUCUGAGUUCAUGUUGUCAUGAUGCAAAGUAGCCCUGUCAUGCAGACUUGGGGGUGACUGAGUCUAUCUUUCCCUGUGUUAUUUUGAUAUUUUAGGAAGGGGGGAAAUAGGAGGGUUAAACACAAGGGAAAUUACAUAUAAAUAAAAUUGAAUUUAUUAACA
rnacentral:lncRNA from 1 species